UCCUUCCCCUUUCCGCUAUUCCAUUCCCAUCUGCCAACACCAUACAAAGCCACCUCCCGGUAACACUAACGCCACCAUUACCUCCCCACUCCACUUUCUGCGCACCCUUUUCGCUAUCUUGCAUUUUAUUAUCAUCAUUCUUAUCAGUUAUCACCAUCACUUAUUAAAGUUACCGAAAGCUACCCACAUCCGCCUCCUCCGGACCACCACCGCCGCCGCCUCCUCCUAUUCUUCUUCUUCUUCUUCUUCUUCUGUUCUUCCCCACUUCCUCUACAUCCUUCCUCUCUUAAAAAGCUUUCUUCUGGAAGCUUCUCCUCCGGCUCCGAUGCCGUCCAAACCCUUGCACUUCCGCGGCGCCUCUCUCUUCAUCUUGUUCUUCUUCCUCCUCCUUCUCCUUUUCUUGUACUCCUUGCACCGCUCUUCCUCCUCCGAUCGCCAGCACGGGCUUUCCGCCACCGAUGCUCAGCGCCUCUUCCUCGCCCUUUCCGCCGGCGCCAAUGCCACCAUCGCCUUACACCUACGCACUCUCACUCUCCACCCUCACCUCGCUGGAACCCCUUCCGCUGCCGUCCCCGCCUCGUACGUCCUUUCCCAUUUCCGAUCCUCCGGUCUCCGCGUCUUCACCGUCGACUAUUCCCCACUGCUCUCCUACCCCGCCUCAGCCUCCCUCUCCCUCCUCCGCUCCGAUGGUGCGCUCCUGAAGUCCCUCCCCCUCGCCGAGCCCGCCGACCCUUCGGCCGCCGCCGUCGCGCCGUACCACGCCUACUCCCCCUCCGGUGCUGCCGUCGCCCCCGCCGUAUACGUUAACUUCGGUCGCGAGAAGGACUACAACUUGCUCCAUAGGAUGGGCGUUGAAGUCAAGGGGUGCGUCGCGAUCGCGCAGCGUGGCGAGGAGUACCGAGGCGCGGUGGUGGCCAGGGCCGCGGCGAAGGGAGCGAAGGCGCUGUUGUUAUUUAAGAUAGCUGACCUAGGUGGGGUUGAGAGGGGGACCGUGUUGCUCGGUGGGGUCGGAGAUCCGCUGACCCCGGGGUGGGCUGCCCCCUCUGACGAAGGAGGCGAGAGGCUCGACGCCGAGGAGGCGGAGGUGAGGCGGAGGUUUCCUAAGAUUCCGUCAAUGCCGGUGGCGGAAGAGGUGGCGUUGAAGAUUCUAAGUACGCUUGGUGGACCCACGAUGCCGCCUGAAUGGAGAGAUGAUUUGCGUUUGGCGGCGGAGUGCGGCGUCGGACCAGGUCCCAUGUUGGUCAACUUCACCUAUCAGGAAGAUAGAAAGGUGGCAAAGAUUCAAAAUAUUUUUGGCAUCAUACGGGGAAGAGAGGAACCUGAUCGUUAUGUCAUCCUUGGCAACCACAGAGAUGCAUGGACAUUUGGUGCUGUGGAUCCUAAUAGUGGUACAGCUACCCUCCUUGAUGUUGCUCGCCGUUAUGGAAGUUUGUUGCGCUCUGGUUGGAGACCUCGAAGAACAAUAAUCUUAUCUAGCUGGGAUGCUGAGGAAUUUGGAAUGAUUGGAUCUACUGAAUGGGUAGAGCAGAACCUUGGAUGGUUGACAUCAAAAGCUGUGGUGUACUUGAAUGUUGAUUGUGCAGUUCAAGGUGAUGGUUUUUUUGCUGGUGCAACUCCCCAGUUGGAUAAUAUUCUAGUUCAAGUAAUGAAGCAGAUUCAAGAUCCAGAUAUCGAAGGCACUGCAGUUUAUGAUAAUUGGGUAGCAAAUCAUGGUGGUGUUAGUAAAAUUGAAAGGUUGGGUAGAGCUGAUUCAGACUUUUCUGCUUUUUUGCACAUUGCUGGCGUUCCUUCAAUAGAUAUGUUUUAUGGAGAUGUCUUCCAUGGCUACCAUACUGCUCUAGAUAAUUUCAAAUGGAUGGCAGAACAUGGUGAUCCAUCAUUCCAUCGUCACAUAGCCAUUGCUGAAAUAUGGGGGCUAUUAGGUCUUCGUCUUGCAGAUGAUCCAAUUUUACCUUUUAAUUAUCUUUCUUAUGCUACCCAGUUACAUGUUGUCACUAAGAUAUGAACUUUUGCAUUAUUUCAUACUUGGCCUGGUAAAAUUGCUUGUUUAUAUCGGUGGAAGAAUAGGUACGCAAGUUACAGAGCCAUAACUAUAUUUGUCUGAUCACUAAAUAAACUAGGAAUCAUCUUCGUUCUUUUGGUCUUCAUGGGUUAUAUAAUUACUGCACUGACCUUUCUGUAAUAUUUAGGAUUUUUUUAUACGUUAUGUAUAUUUAUCUUGCUAAAUUCAUAGGCCUUGGUUUAAAACAAAUCAGAACUUUUAGAUCAUAUUGCUACAUGUUAUAUCUGAGGGGUGUGAGGGGUGUCCUAAGACAAUUGUCUUAUGAUUUAUAUUAUUUAUUAGAUAAAUAAAGAUUCACUAUUUGAGUAUACAUAUUUAAUGUGUGUGAUUGGAUCUUAAACUCAUUUACUGAAUGUUCAAAAUACGAUUAUGGUAACUAGUGAGCAUUUUUAUAUGUGUAAUUAUAAAUGUAUUGAAAUCUUCCUUUGUCAACGAAUUGAUGUAUUCGGGCAUCAUUGAUUUUGUGAAACUAGUAUGGAUUAUACUCUUUGGUCUAACCAAGUAAUUGCUCUUCACUAGCGGGAGACAUUGAUAUGUCGAAAGUUAAAUGUAGAUGCUAAUUGUGAUAACUAGUUUAUCGGAGUGAGUUGUUGUAAGACUUCAUAUGAUUAUUUACAUAUAUGGAUAUGUCAAUGAAUCUCUUAUUGUAGUUCAAGUGUAAGUUUCCUUCGACUUGAGGUAUUCAAGUCAAUUUGGUUAUGGAGACUUAUACUUGGACAUCCUAAGCAAUCAUCUCGUUGGAGGUGUGACCCCGGAUGAUUGGGUAUAAGUCAAUGUGCUCGAAGGUGUUUGGAUAGCCCAUAGAGGAUUUACCACUCCAUACGAGGAGACAUAUUCCCUAUGACCACUUAUCAGGAUUAUUAUUCAAAGUUUUUAGUAAAAGCAUCACAUGUUAGGAGUAUUGUACUUUUGGACACAUGUAUGAGUAAUUUGAAUUCGCAGAACGAGGAAGUAUUACUUGGGAUAAGUGUGACAUAGACGAUUUCCUGAACUAAGUGGGUAUAAAGAGUGAAAGAAACGAGACAUAACUCACUGUAGCUGUUGAAAGGUUUAUAAGUGGUUUUGAAAAUGUACUACUAGGUGACAUCAUGAUCGAUUCAUAAUUAAUGAUUAAUUAUUGACGACCAACAUAAUCGGGACCGGUCACAUGCACUAUGAGUUUAUCCAUAGGACUUAAAAUGAGUUUGAAAAUUGGAUUCUCAUAUCAAGACUGAAUCUGAUUGGACCAAACGAGAAGCAAAUAUGGAAAGAUAUUUAUCGGAACGAAAGUGCGGAUGUGCUGUCUUUUGAAUACGAGUUGAACUCUCUUUGUUUUAAUUAUAAAUUAAAUUGGUUUGAUUUUAAUUAAAAGAGUUUUGGUUUUGAGCCGAACCAAUAAUGGAUUGUGUUUUGGUUAAGACUUAUUGGGUUGAGUUUGGGCUUUCUUAUCAAACCCAUUUAGGAAAUCUAUAUAUUGAUAUAGAGUUGGGAGAAAAAUAAAUAAAUUCAAUUUUGGAUCAAAACCUAAUUUAAUUAGGUUUAAUCCCCUCCUCCCUCUCUAGCUGCCGACCACAAGGGGGAAAUCCCUCGUGUCGCUGCCUUCCGGCCCCGGCCAGCCAACCUCCCAACGGCUAGCAACCCUCGGCCGACCAACAGGACCCCUAAGGUGCUUCCUCCGGCCGGCCACUGCCGCUCUAAGGCAAGAAGAACCGGCGGACAGAUUCUGUCUGCUGGCGCUGUGACCCCCCUUUCCGGUCUCUCUUCACUCCGUUUCGGCGAGCAAAAGUUGCUACCGGAAUUCCAAAGCCUCGGGGUACCUCAUACCUUAUUGGCAGCGAAUUACGGACAUCGAGAGAAGAAAAAGGAGCGGACAGCCCCUUUUUCCGGCCGGACAGCAGCCUUCUUGUUCGGUUCCUCUCUCUGAUAACAGUCUGGUUGCGUAUGCCACCGGACACCAAACUCUGUCUUUGCACGCAAAGCUAGUCCCUUUCGCGAGGACGAAACUCAUGACUUCUGAAGUCAUCUUGACGAUUGCUUUGCGUGAAUAUGGAUAAAGGUGAGGCUCCGAGAGCGUUACUUGAUUGAUGCUCUUUCCACUUUGCAUCAUUUGUCAGGUAUUCCUGGAGUAAAUUUAUUUCCAUAAAAUUUUAUAUUGCCAUCAUGUAUGAGAUGUAUCUCUGUAUGCGUGUGUCGUAAUAAUUAGGAAUUAUUAUUCUUUUUGUCUUCCGCUGUGUAUAUGUACGAAACGUGUUUUAGCACAUACUCGCAUUGGGCUCCCUAACACUAGCUCCAUAGUAGGUCAAGCAUAGAGGGUUGUGUUUAGUUUGCGAAAAGCUAUUUUCUUAACUUUUCUUUCUGUUUAUCAUCUAGUAGAAAUUCCUUUACCUUUCAUGCAUUUGCCAGGCCAUACAAAAUUUAUCCCUGUACCCAAUUGUAUUAAUUAGUAAGUAUUAUUGAACCUGAUCUCAUAGUACUUUUGCUUUGAUAGACUCAAAUUAUAGUGGCAUUUUGAGAUAUGGAUAGACAAGAAUUGGACUUUUUCUGUCCUCUUGCAUUUGUAGGAACAUGCAACUGCAUUGGAUGUCUUGCUGGAUGAAGGGAUAUCUUUACAACUUUUAAAUACAUCCAUUGAUGAGCUCACUGCCGCUAUCAGAGAAGCUGUAGAAGAAGUACAGAAAUUGCAAGAGGCAAAAGACACUGGGUAUUUUGCUUCUUUAAGGCGGCGUGCUUUUAAUGAUCGCCUAAUGCUUGCUGAAAGAGGCUUUCUGGAAGCAGAGGGCCUUAAAGGAAGACCAUGGUUUAAGCAUUUGUUGUACUCACCUCCUGAGGAUUUCGAAAGCAAGCUGUCUUUCUUUCCAGGGAUAGCUGAUGCCAUUUCUCAAGCUGCACAAAGUACGGGGAAGGAAGCACAUUCCAGUCUUCAACAUGAGAUUUGGAGGGUUGCUAGAGCUAUUCAAAGGGCGGCUGCUGCUCUCCGAGGAGAGCUAAUUUGAGAUCAAAGAGAAUGGAAAUUGUAAUAAUUGUCCAUAUGACUCCAAAAAAAAAAAAAGUUUAUCUUUUCGGUGAUAGCUGUCUCGAAUCUUUGACAUAGAAUGAUAGAACUCUGUUUUUGUUGGGUGUGCUUUA